CUCCAAUGCCACCAGUAAAAGCAACUCAAUUUACUAAAACCUCGAUAUCUAAAUUUCCUCUUCCUGAAGCUAAAUUUCAAUAUAAAGUAAUUCAUUUGCUCACUCAAAUUCUUGAGAAGCAGUGCAAGAUAUCGACACAGGAACCUGAACAUUCUUCAUAUCAUGUGCAGAAGUUCGAUAAUUUAGAGGAGUUUUAGGUUUUUGAUGAUGAACUUUCUGAUGUUGCAAAAUGUCUUCUUUUAAAAAGACAGUUAACAAUGGUUGGUGGAAAUUCCUGUCAUGCAAAUGUCAAAGCCAUACUUUCUAAACUCAUGACAAACAAGUUAAUGGCAUGUUACAACAUGAAUGGAAAAAAUAAAAAAUCAUUCAUAAAAACAAAAGUAUUCAGAGUCACUGUGGAAAGCAUGCCAAAGUACAAAUUAAAUGAAUUGCACCAAGCUAUUGGCAACGUUCUAAAACGUGCUCCCGACAGAAAAGAUGGUGGUGGGCGUGACUGUAGAGCGGAAAGA